rnacentral:lncRNA from 1 species
UAGAGGGGUAAAUGAAAUUUAAAGUUUAACUCUUUAUUAACAAAUGUCAUAAUUGAUGGACCUUUUCUUAAUUAGGUGGUAAAGUCCCUACAGCUGUUAAGAUUUUGCCCCAGUCUUUAAAAGGAUCCUAAAGGUUAGGACCCGAAGCUGAGGCUGUGUGAAGAAACAUACAGGUUCAGAAAUCUCUGGUAAUCCAAGAGCCCUUUUCUUCCCCCCAGCAAGAAGAAACCAAAAUCGGGGAAGUUCUUCCUUCCUGACUUCUUGCACAAAUUUAGUGUGGCAAAAAAAGAAAAAAAAAGAUGAACACAGCAGAUGUUGAGGAGAGUGUAGCUCAGUCAGUGAGUAGCACAACAAUAUCUGAGCUGAAUAAUAAAGAUACCCCUUCCCAACCUGCUACCUUGGAGAGAACACUUCAUGAGGAAGAAAAGUGUAAACAAGACAAUAUAAUGGAAUUUAGUUAUAGAAAAAGAAAAAAAAGAAAAACUGAGUUCUCUGACGACCAAUUGAAGAUCCUUGAAGAGCAUUUUAAUAGAAAUCCGUAUAUUGCCUAUGACCAAGCCAAGGUCUUGUCUGCUGAAGUGGGUUUGAGUCCUGUUCAGAUUAGGACCUGGUUUGGUAACCAAAGAUCAAGAAAGAGGAAAAUUAAGGGAUGGCUCAUAACAAGAAACGUUCGAACGAAGCGUGUCCAAGAAAAAAUCCAUCCUCAUUCAAGUGAACGGAGUUCCCAAGCUUGUUCUAGUCCUACAUGCUUGGGUCCCUUUCAACCAAAUAUAGUGGAAAUUGAUGUUUGUAAUGAACAUAAAACUUUUAUUAACCUUUAAAUGCCAACUUUUCUUUUCCCAAUUUCCCAUUAUUCCAGUGGGACUGAAUUUUUGACCAUGUGCAAUUGAACUCAAUAUGAGACCUGUGUCUUAAAGAAAUGUCAUCUGGCUAAAUGUAACUAAAGGAAAUCUAUUUUAUACAAAGGCAUUUGUUGAUCUUAAUUUUUUUUUGGUUUUUUCAUUUGUCAAUUUUUAAAUUUAUUUGGGGAAUAAAAAUAAAAAUUAAUAAUUUGGUUUUGGUUUC